GAUGAACGCUGGCGGCGUGCCUAAUACAUGCAAGUCGAGCGAACAGACGAGGAGCUUGCUCCUCUGACGUUAGCGGCGGACGGGUGAGUAACACGUGGAUAACCUACCUAUAAGACUGGGAUAACUUCGGGAAACCGGAGCUAAUACCGGAUAAUAUAUUGAACCGCAUGGUUCAAUAGUGAAAGACGGUUUUGCUGUCACUUAUAGAUGGAUCCGCGCCGCAUUAGCUAGUUAGUAAGGUAACGGCUUACCAAGGCGACGAUGCGUAGCCGACCUGAGAGGGUGAUCGGCCACACUGGAACUGAGACACGGUCCAGACUCCUACGGGAGGCAGCAGUAGGGAAUCUUCCGCAAUGGGCGAAAGCUUGACGGAGCAACGCCGCGUGAGUGAUGAAGGUCUUCGGAUCGUAAAACUCUGUUAUUAGGGAAGAACAAAUGUGUAAGUAACUAUGCACGUCUUGACGGUACCUAAUCAGAAAGCCACGGCUAACUACGUG
rnacentral:rRNA from 1 species